GAACGGCAGCACGGGGGCAAGUUUGGUGUCGAGUGGCGAAUGGGUGAGUAAUGAAUCGGAACGUGCGCAGUAGUGGGGGAUAACCAGUAGUAAGAAUGGAUAAUACCGCAUACGACGUACGGGUGAAAGCGGGGGACCUUAAGGCCUCGCGCUAUCGGAGCGACAGAUUUAUGAUUAGCUAGUUGGUGAGGUAAAGGAUCACCAAGUUGAUGAUCUGUAGAUGGUGUGAGAGGACGGCCAGCCACAUUGGGAAUGAGACACGGCCCAGAGUCCUACGGGAGGCAUCAGUGGGGAAUUUUGGACAAUGGGCGAAAGCCUGAUCCAGCCAUGCCGCGUGCGGGAAGAAGGCCUUCGGGUUGUAAACCGUUUUUGGCAGGAACGAAACAGGCGCGGGCCAAUACCUACGCGUUAAUGACGGUAGCCUGCAGAAUAAGCACACGGCUAACGACGUG
rnacentral:rRNA from 1 species